rnacentral:rRNA from 1 species
GUUUACGGCCAUACCACCCUGUCUGCGCCUGAUGUAGUCUGAUCUCGGAAGCUAAGCAGGGUCGGGCCUGGUUAGUACUUGGAUUGGAGACUGCCUGGGAAUACCGGGUGCUGUAAGCU